UACGUAGGUGGCAAGCGUUGUCCGGAAUUAUUGGGCGUAAAGCGCGCGCAGGUGGUCCUUUAAGUCUGAUGUGAAAGCCCACGGCUCAACCGUGGAGGGUCAUUGGAAACUGGGGGACUUGAGUGCAGGAGAGAAGAGUGGAAUUCCACGUGUAGCGGUGAAAUGCGUAGAUAUCGGAAGGAACAUCAGUGGCGAAGGCGACUUCCUGGACCAAUACUGACGCUCAGGUGCGAAAGCGUGGGGAGCAAACAGG
rnacentral:rRNA from 1 species